rnacentral:sRNA from 1 species
CCGUAUGGUCUUGCCUGAGGAGGAGGU